UACAGAGGGUGCAAGCGUUGUUCGGAAUUAUUGGGCGUAAAGCGCGUGUAGGCGGCCUUGCAAGUCGGGUGUGAAAUCCCUCAGCUUAACUGAGGAAGUGCGCCCGAAACUGCAGAGCUUGAGUGCCGGAGAGGGUGGCGGAAUUCCCCAAGUAGAGGUGAAAUUCGUAGAUAUGUGGAGGAACACCAGUGGCGAAAGCGGCUCUCUGGUCUGUUACUGACGCUGAGGUGCGAAAGCGUGGGGAGCAAACAGG
rnacentral:rRNA from 1 species